rnacentral:rRNA from 1 species
AUACGUAGGGGGCAAGCGUUGUCCGGAAUGACUGGGCGUAAAGGGCGCGUAGGCGGCCGAUUAAGUCUGGAGUGAAAGUCCUGCUUUCAAGGUGGGAAUUGCUUUGGAAACUGGUUGGCUUGAGUGCAGAAGAGGGAAGUGGAAUUCCAUGUGUAGCGGUGAAAUGCGUAGAGAUAUGGAGGAACACCAGUGGCGAAGGCGGCUUCCUGGUCUGUAACUGACGCUGAGGCUCGAAAGCGUGGGGAGC